rnacentral:rRNA from 1 species
AGUGAACGCUGGCGGUAGGCCUAACACAUGCCAGUCGAACGGCAGCACAGUAAGAGCUUGCUCUUACGGGUGGCGAGUGGCGGACGGGUGAGGAAUACAUCGGAAUCUACUUUUUCGUGGGGGAUAACGUAGGGAAACUUACGCUAAUACCGCAUACGACCUACGGGUGAAAGCAGGGGAUCUUCGGACCUUGCGCGAAUGAAUGAGCCGAUGUCGGAUUAGCUAGUUGGCGGGGUAAAGGCCCACCAAGGCGACGAUCCGUAGCUGGUCUGAGAGGAUGAUCAGCCACACUGGAACUGAGACACGGUCCAGACUCCUACGGGAGGCAGCAGUGGGGAAUAUUGGACAAUGGGCGCAAGCCUGAUCCAGCCAUACCGCGUGGGUGAAGAAGGCCUUCUGGUUGUAAAGCCCUUUUGUUGGGAAAGAAAAGCAGCAGGUUAAUACCCCGCUGUUCUGACGGUACCCAAAGAAUAAGCACCGGCUAACUUCGUG